rnacentral:rRNA from 1 species
UCCGUAGGCGGUACGUUAAGUCAGUGGUGAAAUCUCCCGGCUCAACCGGGAAACUGCCAUUGAUACUGGCGUACUUGAGUAUGGACGAGGUAAGCGGAAUUUAUGGUGUAACGGUGAAAUGCAUAGAUACCAUAAAGAACACCGAUAGUGAAGACAGCUUACUAGACCAUAACUGACGCUGAGGCACGAAAGCGUGGGGAGCGAACAGGAUUAGAUACCCUGGUAGUCC